AGGUCUGUAGCUGCUUUCCAGAAAAGUCUGCGACUUCAGAGUUCUAAGAAACUUUGAAUUCGUAAACUUCAAAUCAGAGACCCUGUCUUUUGCAAAUUGCUGGCCUAAGGAUGGCAAGAUGUUAGCUGUCCCUCCUAAAUAUUUGGCCAACCUGCCUACCUCACAAAAAGUGGAAGCUGACCGUGUGCCUGUCCCAAAGAGCUGUGAAGUCCAAGCUUGGGAUUUGCUUCAAUAGGACUUCACAGUCACCAAGACUGCCAAGUUUUCUAACUGGACGGAGAGAGACCGUUUAACCAAAAGGCACCAAGGCUGGGUACCUGACCCACAACAGGCUACCAAGUCCUCCCAGAAGACUUCUGGUGUUGGAGCUGCCUCCUCAGGGCCAGGGAUUGCAAGGCACAGAGUUCCACUGUUGAGUAAGGCCAUGUACCUUUCCAAUGUGCAGUGGAAAAGGAGACUAUUGAAGCCGGCAGCAACAAAGAACAAGAGUCAGAUGCAGAGAAUUCUGGGAGGCUCUUCUGCUGCAUCUCUGCUCAAACCAUGGAGCAUGGCUUCAUCCCUGAGGGCUGACCAACUCCGGCUAGCUAUACCACUAUCCUCUAACCCCUCUGGACACCUCCAGAGGAGUGCAGACACAUAAAGAGUUCCUUUCUGGAGCCCCCUCCCCUGGAAAACCACGACUAAUGCCUUCUCUCUGAUUUAUUUUCGAAUGUACCAUUAAAAAUUAAUUCCCCCCUU
rnacentral:lncRNA from 1 species